AUUGAACGCUGGCGGCAGGCCUAACACAUGCAAGUCGAGCGGAUGAAGGGAGCUUGCUUCUGGAUUCAGCGUCGGACGGGUGAGUAAUACCUAUGAAUCUGCCUGGUAGUGGGGGAUAACGUCCGGAAACGGGCGCUACUACCGCAUACUUCCUGAAGGAGAAAGUGGGGGAUCUUCGGACCUCACGCUUUCAGAUGAGCCUAGGUCGGAUUAGCUAGUUGGUGGGGUAAAGGCCUACCAAGGCGAAGAUCCGGAACUGGUCUGAGAGGAGGAUCAGUAAAACUGGAACUGAGACACGGUCCAGACUCCUACGGGAGGAAGAAGUGGGGAAUAUUGGAAAAUGGGCGAAAGCCUGAUCCAGCCAUGCCGCGUGUGUGAAGAAGGUCUUCGGAUUGUAAAGCACUUUAAGUUGGGAGGAAGGGCAGUAAGUUAAUAACUUGAUGUUUUGACGUUACCAAAAGAAUAAGCAACGGCUAACUUCGUG
rnacentral:rRNA from 1 species